CAGCCUCCCGAGUAGCUGGGACCACAGGCAUGUGCCACCACGUCUGGCUAAUUUUGUAUUUUUAGUAGAGACAGGGUUUCUCCAUGUUGGUCAGGCUGGUCUCAAACUCCCAAACUCAGGUGAUCCGCCCACCUCGGCCUCCCAAAGCGCUGGAAUAACAGGCGUGAGCCACCGCACCCGGCACCCCCCCCCUUUUUUUUUCUUUUGACACACAGUCUCACUCUGGCACCCAGGCUAGAGCACAGUGGUGUGACCUUGGCUCACUGCAACCUCUGCCUCCCAGGUUCAAGAUUCUUGUGCCUCAGCCACCCAAGUAGCUGGGAUUACAGGAAUGCACCACCAUGCCCAGCUAAUUUUUGUAUUUUUAGUAGAGACAGGGUUUCACCAUGAUAGCCAGGCUGGUCUCAAAC
rnacentral:lncRNA from 1 species